GCUUGGCCUGGGCCCCCAGUGGGGGGCGACUACUCUCAGCUUCACCCGUGGAUGCUGCUAUCCGGGUAUGGGAUGUCUCAACAGAGACCUGUGUCCCCCUUCCCUGGUUUCGAGGAGGUGGGGUGACCAACCUGCUCUGGUCCCCAGAUGGCAGCAAAAUCCUGGCUACCACUCCUUCAGCUGUCUUUCGAGUCUGGGAGGCCCAGAUGUGGACUUGUGAGAGGUGGCCUACUCUAUCAGGGCGCUGUCAGACUGGCUGCUGGAGCCCAGAUGGCAGCCGACUGCUGUUCACUGUAUUGGGAGAGCCACUGAUUUACUCCCUGUCUUUUCCAGAACGUUGUGGUGAGGGAAAGGGGCAUGUUGGAGGUGCAAAGUCAGCAACAAUUGUGGCAGAUCUGUCUGAGACAACAAUACAGACACCAGAUGGUGAGGAGAGGCUUGGGGGAGAGGCUCACUCCAUGGUCUGGGACCCCAGUGGGGAACGUCUGGCUGUGCUUAUGAAAGGAAACCCAAGGGUACAGGAUGGUAAACCAGUCAUCCUCCUUUUUCGCACUCGAAACAGUCCUGUGUUUGAGCUCCUUCCCUGGUAAGUGCCAUGUGGGCCCUCAGGCCUGGACUUCUCACCAGCCUUCCUGCACAAAACCCACAUCCCACUACAUUCAGCUCCCUUCUCACCUCCGGUUGCCUGCUCACCUUUUCUUCUAGUGGCGUUAUCCAGGGGGAGCCAGGAGUCCAGCCCCAGCUCAUCACUUUCCAUCCUUCCUUCAACAAAGGGGCCCUGCUCAGUGUGGUGAGUGCGUCAGGCUGCUGGGGCUUCCAGGAGUUGGAUGGAGAAGCUGAGGGCCUUGGCUGCUGUAUGGCUCUGCCAGGUGGCCCUUCUUUGGGCCCAGACUCUGA
rnacentral:sRNA from 1 species